CCGCACAAGCGGUGGAGCAUGUGGUUUAAUUCGAAGCAACGCGAAGAACCUUACCAAGAAUUGACAUCUACCCUUAACCCAUGGAAACAUGGGAAGCCUUCGGGCGGGGUAAGACAGGUGGUGCAUGGUUGUCGUCAGCUCGUGUCGUGAGAUGUUGGGUUAAGUCCCGCAACGAGCGCAACCCUUGCGUCUAGUAGCCAUCGCGUAAAGGCGGGCACACUAGAGGGACUGCCGUGGAUAACACGGAGGAAGGUGGGGACGACGUCAAAUCAUCAUGCCCCUUAUGACUUGGGCAACACACGUGCUACAAUGGGUUUUACAAAGUGAAGCGAGACGGCGACGUUAAGCAAACCACAAAAAGGAACCCUCAGUUCGGAUUGUAGUCUGCAACUCGACUACAUGAAGCUGGAAUCGCUAGUAAUCGCGAAUCAGCAUGUCGCGGUGAAUACGUUCUCGGGCCUUGUACACACCGCCCGUCACACCAUGGGAAUUAGAGGCGCCCGAAGCCGGUAGACUAACCGUAAGGAAGUCGCUGUCUAAGGCGAAGCUAGUGACUGGGGUGAAGUCGUAACAAGGUAACCAAGGGCGAAUUCGCGG
rnacentral:rRNA from 1 species